GGAGGGUCAUUGGAAACUGGGAGACUUGACUGCAGAAGAGGAAAGUGGAAUUCCAUGUGUAGCGGUGAAAUGCGUAGAGAUAUGGAGGAACACCAGUGGCGAAGGCGACUUUCUGGUCUGUAACUGACACUGAGGCGCGAAAGCGUGGGGAGCAAACAGGAUUAGAUACCCUGGUAGUCCACGCCGUAAACGAUGAGUGCUAAGUGUUAGAGGGUUUCCGCCCUUUAGUGCUGAAGUUAACGCAUUAAGCACUCCGCCUGGGGAGUACGGCCGCAAGGCUGA
rnacentral:rRNA from 1 species